UGCGAAAGCGACCGUCUGUCCCGACGGGGGUGCCGCGUAUGGGAGAACUCCAGAGGUACGUUCGGGCUCUUUUAAGUUCCCAACCUUGAAAGGUUACCCGCUGGCCAUAGAGGGUGGAAGCCCCGUCCAGAAGGGUGCCGUUCGGCCUCACGGAGUUUCUCUCUAGAGUCGGGUUGCUCGGUAACGCAGCCCAAAGACAGGUGGUAAACUCCAUCUAAGGCUAAAUACGACCACGAGACCGAUAGCGAACAAGUACCGCGAGGGAAAGUUGAAAAGAACUCUGGAGAGAGAGUUAAAGAGACCGUGAAACCGUCACGCACGCAUUCAAACGGAAGGGC
rnacentral:rRNA from 1 species